UUUGUGGUAUCAUAUUACGUGGUGUUUGGCUUGAGAAUGCACUAGGCUUUUGGUUGUAGAAGAUAAAAGAAAAAUUGUAACAACAAGUCCUAAAAAUUCUAAUAGAUUCUUAAACAAAUUACAAUUAAAGAUUAGAAAAUAUGAUGAAAUAUCGAUCAAAUUCAAUCAAACUUUCAAAAGAAUUAUGUAAGAAACACAAAUUAUUUCUAGAGAUCCUUUAAAGAAUCAUAAAGAAAUAAUAUAGAAAUUCAAAAAUAUACUAAAAUAAAAACCUUAAUAAUAUAUUAAAAUAAAAAUCUUAAUUAAACUUUCGUCAAAAUUUAAUCAAAUUUUAGUCAAAUCCUAAUCAAAUCCUAAUCAAAUCCUAAUAAAUCUUAAAUAAACCUGAAUCAAAUCCUAAUCAAAUCCUAAAAAAUCCUAAAAAAUCCUAAACAAACCUUAACCAAAUCCUAAAUAAAUCCUAAAUAAAUUCUAAAAAAAUCCUAAACAAAUCUUAAACAAAUCCUAAAUAAAUUCUAACCAAAUCCUAAACAAAUCCUAAACAAAUCCUAAAAAAAUCCUAAAAAUUCCUAAUCAAAUCCUAAUCAAAUCCUAAUAAAAGCUUAAAUAAAGUAUAAUCAAAUCCUAAAAAAUCCUAAACAAAUCUUAAUCAAAUUCUAAUUAAAUCUUAAUUAAAUCCUAAUAAAUCCUAAAUAAACCUUAACCAAAUUCUAAUAAAAUUCUAAAAAAUCCUAAUAAAAUCCUAAAAAUAUCCUAAACAAAUUCUAACCAAAUCCUAAAUAAAUCCUAAUCAAAUCCUAAAAAAAUCCUGAAAAAAUUCUAACCAAAUCCUAACCAAAUCCUAACCAAAUCCUAAUCAAAUCCUAACCAAAUCCUAACCAAAUGCUAAUCAAAUCUUAAAAAGACCUUAACCAAAUCCUAA
rnacentral:lncRNA from 1 species